UCCCACGGCCUUCCUCCUCUUGGCCUCCAAACCAGCUAACAGAACUGGUUUACAGAGCUAGAGCUGGGAAUCCCGCCCCCCCCCCCCCCGGGAUCCCCCUCUCUUCCAGCAGAAAUGCUCAGAAGCCCAGCUUAUGUCUGUAACCCCCUGGUUAUGUGACUCCUGGACCGAGGCUCUCAAGGAGGUACUCCUUCCCACAGGUAUCAGAGGGGUCGCUGCUCUUCUGUCUGAGCUUCCCACCUUGGACCAACCUGGGUGUCAGAUACUUGGGAGGGGAGACUCCUGGGCAGCAAAGAAACCCUUACUCUCCCCCUCCUUAGGCUCUGGCUGGCUGCCACGGUGACCUCCCCUCCCCCAAGAAGGGCGGUGAGCUGGGAGAUGGGGGGUGGGAGAAUCCACCGGCUCCACUGAUGCUCUCUAGAGGGGGCAGGGAAGCCAGGCAGGGCGUGUCGCCUAGGCCUUUCUCUGCCCAGUGCCAAGCUCACAGAUAUGAGACGCCUCUGUACCAUCCCCCAAGUCACCUGCUAUGGGAAGAAUCUUCACUCUCACGAUCCACACCCCUAAGCCCCAAAGAGGCUAACACAUUAGUGAAGGACAGUGAGUCUAGAACCUUCUGCCCAGUCGGAUGUAAGCCAGAGAAGCUAAGUGCCCAGUUACCCUACCACUUGCACCCACUCUUUUCGAAAAGGGACAGGUGUCGUGUUCCCCAUUUCCCAGCAGCAAUCUGCUCCAGAGCUGGACGCGUCCUUUCCCUAGAUUCCAGGCAGGGUCCGCAGGGAGCCCCUCGGGCGCAACCUUGGGGUGGGGGCAACCAGCUCCCAGCCCCACCUCGUUCUCCCAAGAGAGGCUCCUGUCCCUUCGCCCACACCCUCGCCGGCACCCAGACACCUGCACAGUGCUCCGCAGCCUGUGCCGCAGUGCGAGCUAGUCAGCGAGCCCGCGAGCCCGGCGCCUAGAGCGGGGGUGGCCUGACCACAGUGGGUUGGACUUUCCCACAUCAAGAAAACCAAGAAAAUGCCCACACAGACUUGCCUACAGGUCAAUAUGAUGGAACCAUUUUUUCUCCUGGGACCCCUCUUCCUCGUGACCCAUCUUGGCUCAAGGUGAGAAAAAAACUAGCCAAUACAAACUUUUUUUUACCACU